rnacentral:rRNA from 1 species
UAAUGUCGGUGCCGCAGCAAACGCGAUAAGCGUCCCGCCUGGGAAGAAAGUUGUGAAAGCAACCUGACGGUACCAGAGGAAUCAGCAUCGGCUAACUCCGUGCCAGCAGCCGCGGUAAGACGGAGGAUGCAAGCGUUAUCCGGAAUGAUUGGGCGUAAAGCGUCCGCAGGUGGCAGUUCAAGUCUGCUGUCAAAGACCGGGGCUUAACUUCGGAAAGGCAGUGGAAACUGAACAGCUAGAGUAUGGUAGGGGCAGAGGGAAUUCCUGGUGUAGCGGUGAAAUGCGUAGGGAUCAGGAAGAACAUCGGUG